GACCUGGAAUAUUUAUAUACAACUUAGAAACAAAACAAUAUUCUUACAACUACAAUAGCUAUCCAUAUGAUUUCUUUAAAUCAUUACUGAUAUAAUUUUUACUUGGUGUAAAAACAUUUAGAAGUGAACACACAUUAUGGUGAAACCAAUAGAUCCCUUGCUUAACUCAGAAUCUAAAAAAAAAUGUAUACGAGAAUUUUCCGAAUUAUUAAUAAUAAUAGGAUAUUAUACUUAAGAAUUCGUUUUCCAGAAGUAGGUAUGCUCAUUAUUCGUUAUUUUUUUAUGAUAUUUAUAACAGUUGAACAGUCAUUUUUUUAUACCAAAAAUGAUUACUAAGAAUAUUAAAUAAAUUAAAGAUUCCAAGGAAAAAAAUAUUAUAAGUAGGUAGGGUCGGAUUAAGACAAAAUAUUAUUCUAAGCAAGAUUUCCAAGGCGCUACUACGAUCAAACAUUUUUUUAAAAAAUUUAACUAAUGAAUAUUAAUUAAUAUUGAAUAUAAUAGAAUUCACCAAAAUUAAUAAUAGCUAUUUCAGCGCUCUAAUGCUUAAUCUGCCUGUAUAUUAAUUCAGGACUGGCUAUCAGAUCACCAUUAUUGAACAUAAUAGUUGCAGAAGCAGAAUUCAUGAUGGACGUUUUGCAGGUUAUUGACAACCUAAAGAAUUUAAAUACUCAAAAAGUAUUAAGCUAUAUUUAUUUAAUU